CUACGGGUGGCUCCAGUGAGGAAUAUUGCACAAUGGGGGGAACCCUGAUGCAGCAACGCCGCGUGGAGGAUGACGCAUUUCGGUGUGUAAACUCCUUUUAUAUGUCAAGAAAAUGACGGUAGCAUAUGAAUAAGCACCGGCUAACUCCGUGCCAGCAGCCGCGGUAAUACGGAGGGUGCAAGCGUUACUCGGAAUCACUGGGCGUAAAGGACGCGUAGGCGGGUUGGAAAGUCAGGUGUGAAAUCCUACAGCUUAACUGUAGAACUGCACUUGAAACUUCUAAGCUAGAGUAUGGGAGGGGGAGAUGGAAUUAGCGGUGUAGGGGUAAAAUCCGUAGAUAUCACUAGGAAUACCUAAAGCGAAGGCGAUCUCCUGGAACAUUACUGACGCUAAGGCGUGAAAGCGUGGGGAGCAAACAGGAUUAGAUACCCCAGUAGUC
rnacentral:rRNA from 1 species